rnacentral:misc_RNA from 1 species
GAUGAAGAACGCAGCGAAAUGCGAUAAGUAAUGUGAAUUGCAGAAUUCAGUGAAUCAUCGAAUCUUUGAACGCACAUUGCGCCCCCUGGCAUUCCGGGGGGCAUGCCUGUCCGAGCGUCAUUACAACCCUCAAGCUCAGCUUGGUGUUGGGCCCCGCCGCCCCGGCGGGCCCUAAAGUCAGUGGCGGUGCCGUCCGGCUCCGAGCGUAGUAAUUCUUCUCGCUCUGGAGGUCCGGUCGCGUGCUCGCCAGCAACCCCCAAUUUUUUUCAGGUUGACCUCGGAUCAGGUAGGGAUACCCGCUGAACUUAAGCAUAUAAUAAGCGGAGGA